GAUUAGAUAAAUUUUUUAUAUUUUUUAUAAUUUAUUAUAAAUUUAUUUUACAUGUAAAUUUUAGUAUAAAAUUUUAAUUAUUUUAAAAAUAAUUGAUUUAAUUAAACAGUAAUUAAAAUUAAAAAUUUAAGAGAUUAAGAUUUAGUAAUAUUUAAAUUAAUAACUAAUUUUGUGCCAGCAGUUGCGGUUAAACAAAAGUUAAAUUAAAUUAUUUCAGUAUAUAAUAAAUAAUAAAAAUAUUAAAUUAAAUAUUAAAUUAUUAAGUGAAAUUUUAAUUUAAUUAAAAAUUAUUUUUAAUUUAUGAUUUAAUAAAUUUUAUUAUAAACUAGGAUUAGAUACCCUAUUAUUAAAAAUUUAAUUUAAAAUACUAAAAUAGUAAAUAAAAUAUUAUUGAAACUUAAAUAAUAUGGCGGUAUUUUAGUUCAUUUAGAGGAAUCUGUCUAGUAAUUGAUAAUCCACGAAUAAUUUUACUUAAUUUAUAAUUUUGUAUAUCAUUGUUAAAAAAAUAUUUUUAAAUAAAAAUAAUAUUUUAAAAUUUAAAAUAAAAUUUAAUUCAGAUCAAGAUGCAGAUUAUAAUUAAGUUUAAGAUGGAUUACAAUAAAUUUAUUUAAACGAAAAGAAUUUUGUAAAAUUUGAUUGAAGGUGGAUUUAAAUGUAAUUUUAAUUAAUUUAUUAAAAUGAUUAAAAAUUAAAAUAUGUACAUAUUGCCCGUCACUUUCAUUUAAAAAUUGGAAUAAGUCGUAACAAAGUAGAAGUACUGGAAAGUGUUUCUAGAAUGAA
rnacentral:ncRNA from 1 species